GUGGGGAAUAUUGGGCAAUGGGCGAAAGCCUGACCCAGCAACGCCGCGUGAAGGAAGAAGGUUUUCGGAUCGUAAACUUCUAUCCUUGGUGAAGAUAAUGACGGUAGCCAAGAAGGAAGCCCCGGCUAACUACGUGCCAGCAGCCGCGGUAAUACGUAGGGGGCAAGCGUUGUCCGGAAUGAUUGGGCGUAAAGGGCGCGUAGGCGGCCUGGUAAGUCUGGAGUGAAAGUCCUGCUUUUAAGGUGGGAAUUGCUUUGGAUACUGUCGGGCUUGAGUGCAGGAGAGGUAAGUGGAAUUCCCGGUGUAGCGGUGAAAUGCGUAGAGAUCGGGAGGAACACCAGUGGCGAAGGCGACUUACUGGACUGUAACUGACGCUGAGGCGCGAAAGUGUGGGGAGCAAACAGGAUUAGAAACCCUGGUAGUCC
rnacentral:rRNA from 1 species